rnacentral:sRNA from 1 species
CGGUGAUAACAUCUAAACGUUUUAAAAUUGGUUCGUUCUGGGUUUAAGUUUGGGUUUGAUAACUUUGUUACAUAUGUUGAUCUGGGAGCUAAUUUAACUGUAAUUCAGUGACAUAUUAUUUGGAACCAGAAAAAAACGAUGUCAACCCAAGCGUCGUUGGAUGCUCCUCCUGAAUGGAUGAACGAUGUCCCGCCCCUUGCUACUCUGACUGACAGAUUUGGCAACAGUUUCUAUUUUGGCAAUGCUGGAGAUUUUUGGUUCCACCCGUUUCGUAUGAUGUAUAAACCUUUGAGUUCCCAGAUUUGGCAACAGUUUCUAUUUUGGCAAUGCUGGAGAUUUUUGGUUCCACCCGUUUCGUAUUGGCGCUGACAACGACUUCAGAACACACGUCCAAGAUAUUAGGUCAAUGAACAUCAGAGAUGACGAUAUCAUGAUUUGCUCUUACCCAAAAACUGGUAAAUCAAAUUUUU